GAUGAACGCUAGCGGCAGGCCUAAUACAUGCAAGUCGAGGGGUAGAGGAAGCUUGCUUUCUUGAGACCGGCGCACGGGUGCGUAACGCGUAUGCAGCCUACCUUUAUCAGGGGGAUAGCCCGGAGAAAUCCGGAUUAACACCGCAUAAAAUCACAGAACAGCAUUGUUUCAUGAUCAAAUAUUUAUAGGAUAAAGAUGGUCAUGCGUGCAAUUAGCUAGUUGGCGGGGUAACGGCACACCAAGGCGACGAUGGCUAGGGGCUCUGAGAGGAGAAUCCCCCACACUGGUACUGAGACACGGACCAGACUCCUACGGGAGGCAGCAGUAAGGAAUAUUGUUCAAUGGGGGCAACCCUGAACCAGCCAUGCCGCGUGCAGGAAGACUGCCCUAUGGGUUGUAAACUGCUUUUGUACGGGAAUAACCACUGGUAUGUAUACCAGCCUGAAUGUACCGUAAGAAUAAGGAUCGGCUAACUCCGUGCCAGCCGCCGCUGUAACAC
rnacentral:rRNA from 1 species